AAGUUUGUGUACCUGAUUUUGCUGCUAGUGUAGCUAAACAGUUACCAAUUCAAGGAACUAGUUUUCAUCUUUAUGGUUUGUGUCGUACUCCUUGUGAUUGUGAUAAUACUGUCAGUUAUGAGUGUGGGAUUGAUGGUAAUACUUAUCUUAAUUCCUGCAUGAGGGUCUGUGCUAAUGUACUGAAACUUCAUGAUGGUCAGUGUUUCAAUUAUGCACUAGCUUAUGCAGCUUGUAAUGGAACCUUCUCUAGUCAAUAAAACUUAUCAAUUAUUGUUUAACUAUCUCGCUGCAAUUCUGAUUAUUAUUUAACGAUCAUCAUAAAAAUAUUAAAAACAACAGAGUGGCCAUUUUUUUGCAGGUAAAUGUUCAUAAAUAUUCCUUAAAACU